GGGGUUCCGGUUCACGCCAAUCGUGGAAGAACGGCGACCCGGCGACC
rnacentral:ncRNA from 1 species